rnacentral:rRNA from 1 species
UACAGAGGGGGCAAGCGUUGUUCGGAAUUACUGGGCGUAAAGGGCGCGUAGGCGGCCCGCUAAGUCGAACGUGAAAUCCCCGAGCUCAACUCGGGAACUGCGUCCGAUACUGGUGGGCUUGAAUCCGGGAGAGGGAUGCGGAAUUCCAGGUGUAGCGGUGAAAUGCGUAGAUAUCUGGAGGAAUACCGGUGGCGAAGGCGGCAUCCUGGACCGACAUUGACGCUGAUGAGCGAAAGCUAGGGGAGCAAACGGG